ACAGAAUUUACAUGUUAAAUUCGAGUAAAUUUCAACUCAGCCGCUGGCUCCGUGUCAAAAUGCUAAGGAAUUGAGGUUCUUAGACACCGUCUUCAAAUUCACUGGAAAGGAAGUCAUGAAACAUUCAUGUUGCCCAAGCACACGGGGAGGAUGGAGCGUGUGAGCGCACGGGUCAUUGGGGGUCAUUGGGAUGCUUUUGGGAGACUCGGCUCCUUCACAGGAUCUUUGUGUUGAUGGGUCUGUUGCUACAGUGCCAUUCAAAGUUGUGCAAGAGCUUUGCAAACAUGCAAGAAGAUGAGUCUCUGCUUGAAUGAGAUUGUAAUCUUUGAAGGCAACAGCAAACGCUGAGCAUGUGCCUAACUCCUGAAAGCAGGUCUGAGAACAUCGGUCAAAAAAUUGGCAUUGUCAUUAGGAGAUAAGUGUUAAAAUUCCAAACAUUUUAAAACUAAUUAUGCUGUCUGAUUUCUCUUAACUUGUCAUUAAUUGUGGUUAUUAUUCUUUGUGCUUUCUGGUGGAGAUGUCACAGUGUUUCUUGAUGUCUUUUCCAUUGAUUUAUCAGAGACCGAGAUUUUAGCUUGUGAACGUUUUAGUAGGUAUUUUGGUAA